GAGCUCUUCAUGGAGGGGAGCAGAGAAUUCAACUUUUUCAUUUGACAAGAUCAAGCUGAUAGUAGGAAAGCUCAAGUUUUCCAAUGGAAGUCUUAUACAUGUUAUUCCAGUAUACAGUUCAGUGCCUGGAUACUGAAACUUUUAUUGAAAAGCUCCAUGGUGACCCAGCCGUGUGCCUGCCAGCGAUCUUGCUGUCCCUUGGAGCUCCUUCCUGUCCUGCAGACGUGUCCAUCUUGCCCCGUCUUCCUCUGGUGCCCUUCUUGUCCUCAUUCCUGUAGCUGGCUCCUUGCCGUCUGACGAUCCACUGCAACAAAGCCUUCUGAAACAGCCUCUCACAGGGUGACAGGAACUGUGCGGAGAGGAUGUCUUCAAGAUGGCGACAUAGGUCAUUCCUGACUUCACUCCCCUCACAAGAACAAUGACUAAUAACUAUCCAUGAACAAGGUAGCAUCCUAGAACAUGGAGGUGAAGCAGAAGCAUCCCCUUUUACCACAGAGACCAAGAAAGACCACAGUAGAAAGGUAAGAGGAGCAGCUAUACAUUGACCAUAUUCCUCCUCCCCCCAAGCCCCCACAGAUUAACAUCAUAAAUACUCACUGGUAAUGGAAA